GAUUCGCGAGCGUAGGGAUUCCGCGCCUUUUCUCUCCGCGGUUUUUCCUGUGUGUUGUAAACCCUUAUCGCUAAAUAACGUCUAACUCACCCUCUCUCACCCUUAUUUAUUUUUAUUUUCACUCUCUUUACAUUUUAAACGAACAAAUCAAAAGUCCAGUUCUUCUCAUUUCUAUCGUAUAACUCGUAUAAUUUUUAGUAAUUUUUUUUUUUUUUAUGGUGUAUAAAUUCUCCCACACGUUUCUUAUUCGUACCGUUCGUGUUUUUGUGUUCUUACGAAUGAAGAGAAAAAGAGAAAGAGAAAUAAAGAGAAAUUUAUCGAUCUUUUCUCUCUCUCUCUCUCGGAAGGAAGAGAAGAAGAAAGGUGUUCGCCGUACGUGUUCAAGGUUCGUUUAUUAACGACAAAUGUUUAUACAAAAAUAAGUUGACACUUUGUAUAUAACGUUUCGAUAAAACAAGUGGAUAUAUACGUAUGCGUGUAUUUGUGUUUGUGUGAAAGAUAUAGAUUGAACUAUAAGUUUUUUAUUCAUCAUUUAUUCAUCAUAUGUAAACGUAUUACACGUCAAAUUAACAUGGCCCACUUUCUAAACGAUCACAUGUCCUACGUUGGCUGCAUGAGAGCAGCAGCAGCAGCAGCAGCAGCAGCAGCAGCAGUAGCAGCAGCAGAAACAGCAGCAGCAACGUACGAAGGAAUAAUCAUUUAAAAAAUAAUUGGAAUGACAUUGUUUUUUUCUCCGUUCUCAACGUAAAUAGAAUCUAAAAUCAAGGAUUGAUAAUUAUAUCGUGCAAGUUUAAUUGUUAUUGUGUUGUUGUUUCGGUUUAUUUUUUACUUUUCUUAUCGUUGAUCGAUUUAAAUGUCGAAGAAAAGUUCAACACCUUCCUCGUGUUUAUGAAAACGAUGAAAGGAUAAAAAAAAAAACAUAACAUGACGAGGAAUGUAACGUGGUAACACGUCCACGCGGGUAAAUAAAUCCUAAGUCAUGAGAGUCUUAAACGAGUGUCGACGGAUGACUGUCAAGGUGGUGCAGUUGCAUCGACGUAAAAGUGCAGUGUGACGAAAACGACAAAGACGAGGACGAUUACGACUACGACAACUGCGACUAUUACGACUAUUACUAUUACUACGACUUAGACUUAGACUUACGACUUACGACUUACGACAAUUGUGAUGACACGAUUCGUGAAAGAAGAAAUUGUGUAAAAUAAGCUAAAAGCAUAUAUAUAGUGUGCGUGAUUAUUAUAAUUGUUAUUAUUAUACUAUUCAAAUACUUGAUAUAUAGUUGUUUCGUGGUGCCUAAAAGUUCGGGUAAUUCCCUACUAACUUAAAAAAAAAAAAAAAAAAGGG